rnacentral:rRNA from 1 species
CCUACGGGAGGCAGCAGUGGGGAAUAUUGGACAAUGGGCGAAAGCCUGAUCCAGCCAUGCCGCGUGUGUGAAGAAGGCCUUCGGGUUGUAAAGCACUUUCAGUGGGGAAGAAAGCCUUGGGGCUAAUACCCUCGAGGAAGGACAUCACCCACAGAAGAAGCACCGGCUAACUCCGUGCCAGCAGCCGCGGUAAUACGGAGGGUGCGAGCGUUAAUCGGAAUUACUGGGCGUAAAGCGCGCGUAGGCGGUCUGAUAAGCCGGUUGUGAAAGCCCCGGGCUCAACCUGGGAACGGCAUCCGGAACUGUCAGGCUAGAGUGCAGGAGAGGAAGGUAGAAUUCCCGGUGUAGCGGUGAAAUGCGUAGAGAUCGGGAGGAAUACCAGUGGCGAAGGCAGCCUUCUGGACUGACACUGACGCUGAGGUGCGAAAGCGUGGGUAGCAAACAGGAUUAGAUACCCUAGUAGUC